rnacentral:rRNA from 1 species
GACAGAGGGUGCAAACGUUGUUCGGAAUUACUGGGCGUAAAGCGUGCGCAGGCGGUUCGCUAAGACCGAUGUGAAAUCCCCGGGCUUAACCUGGGAACUGCAUUGGUGACUGGCGGGCUAGAGUAUGGCAGAGGGGGGUAGAAUUCCACGUGUAGCAGUGAAAUGCGUAGAGAUGUGGAGGAAUACCGAUGGCGAAGGCAGCCCCCUGGGCCAAUACUGACGCUCAUGCACGAAAGCGUGGGGAGCAAACAGG